rnacentral:rRNA from 1 species
UACAGAGGUCCCAAGCGUUACUGAGAAUCACUGGGCUUAAAGGGCGCGUAGGUGGUCCGUUAAGUCAGUUGUGAAAUCCCCGGGCUCAACCCGGGAACUGCUUCUGAUACUGGCGGACUUGAGGCCAGUAGGGGUCACUAGAACUGACGGUGGAGCGGUGAAAUGCGUAGAUAUCGUCAGGAAUGCCGGUGGUGAAGACGGGUGACUGGGCUGGUUCUGACACUGAGGCACGAAAGCGUGGGGAGCGAACGGG